rnacentral:rRNA from 1 species
UACGUAGGGGGCUAGCGUUGUCCGGAAUCAUUGGGCGUAAAGAGCGUGUAGGCGGCCCGGUAAGUCCGCUGUGAAAGUCGGGGGCUCAACCCUCGAAUGCCGGUGGAUACUGUCGGGCUAGAGUCCGGAAGAGGCGAGUGGAAUUCCUGGUGUAGCGGUGAAAUGCGCAGAUAUCAGGAGGAACACCAAUUGCGAAGGCAGCUCGCUGGGACGUUACUGACGCUGAGACGCGAAAGCGUGGGGAGCAAACAGGAUUAGAACCCG